rnacentral:rRNA from 1 species
GACAGAGGGUGCAAACGUUGCUCGGAAUUACUGGGCGUAAAGCGCGUGUAGGCGGUGCCGCACGUCCGGUGUGAAAAUCCAGGGCUCAACCCUGGAAGGCCGGUGGAAACUGUCGGGCUAGAGUCCGGAAGAGGCGAGUGGAAUUCCCGGUGUAGCGGUGAAAUGCGCAGAUAUCGGGAGGAACACCAAUGGCGAAGGCAGCUCGCUGGGACGGUACUGACGCUGAGACGCGAAAGCGUGGGGAGCAAACAGG